UACGGAAGGCAGCAGUGGGGAAUAUUGCACAAUGGGCGCAAGCCUGAUGCAGCCAUGCCGCGUGUAUGAAGAAGGCCUUCGGGUUGUAAAGUACUUUCAGUCGUGAGGAAGGUGUUAAGGUUAAUAACCUUAGCAAUUGACGUUAGCGACAGAAGAAGCACCGGCUAACUCCGUGCCAGCAGCCGCGGUAAUACGGAGGGUGCGAGCGUUAAUCGGAAUUACUGGGCGUAAAGGGCACGCAGGCGGUUAUUAAGUUGGAUGUGAAAUCCCCGGGCUUAACCUGGGAAUGGCAUUCAAGACUGGUUAGCUAGAGUCUUGUAGAGGGGGUAGAAUUCCAUGUGUAGCGGUGAAAUGCGUAGAGAUGUGGAGGAAUACCGGUGGCGAAGGCGGCCCCUGGACAAAGGACUGACGCUCAUGUGCGAAAGCUGGGGAGCAAACAGGGAUUAGAUACCCGUCUGAAGACUCCCAAGGGCACACAAGGGGAAUAGG
rnacentral:rRNA from 1 species